AUGGAGGCCGCGGCGGUGCAGGGCAAUAAGCCGCGGCGACGAGCCGGGCGCGACCGGUGCGGGUUAUGGGUGCGCACUGGGCGCGUCGGGACCGCGGGCGCGCGUACGAGCGUGCGGUUGACAUUGGGAAGAUGCGUUUGUCGCCGUUGUGCUCGAGUCCGUGUUCAAGUUCGGCUACAUCCUUCCGGCGUUUGUCGCUGGCGGCUGCUAUGGCAGACACGGAGGCGGCACGCGGUGAGCGUUUGGUGUGGUCGGGCUUGUCGGCCGCGUCGGGUGCACGCGGGACGUGCGAGACGCAAAGAGACACCAGGCGUGUGUCAUCGGCGGAGAAAGAGCUCGGCGUUUGUCGCCAAGGAAGAAGAUGGAGUCCAUGUCCAGCUUGGUGGUGGUCGUCGUAGCGGCCACGACGACGAUGACGGGAGCUGCAACAACACCGGCGACGGCAACGGGUGUCAAGAUUAG
rnacentral:rRNA from 1 species